CCAAUUAGAAUAGGUUUGGAAAAACUCGAAACAAGCUCAAAUAUAAAGGAAUGUGGGGCCCGUUUGGUGUACGAGAGAGAUUUGGAAGAAUUUAGCCGAAUACUGAAAGUCCCAAAGCCAGCACUGCAUGCAUACGAUGACGAGGAUGACGAUGAUGAACCAGGAAUUGGUAGCUCUGAUGACGACGAUGAACCAGUCUGCAAAAGAUUGAAGAAAGUCUAAAUUAUUUUGUGCUUGGUGCAAUCAGUCAAUGAGGUCUCAAAAUAAUACUUGAAAAGCUAAUGACGAUGAUGGUCAAUCCUCAGAAUUCAUCUCAGAAAGGAAAGGAGAGGUGGUUAGUUGAUAAGGGAAGAAAGAAUAACAGAGAAGAAGAAGAGGCAAAAGGAACUGUGAGUUUUAGCUUUACAAAGACAUUAGCAGAAGUGGAGCAAUUAACUUAAUUAGAUUUUGAAAGAUUUUCCUCUCUUAAUUUCUUUUCAGUUCUCUUGGAAAAACAGUUGGCAUUAUCUGCUUGGGAAGAAUUGGCAAAGCCAGAGUUGAAGUACUAGGAAUACUAUCUAAGUUCCAUGGAGUUAGUUGGUUGUGUGAACUCUGAUCACUUCUGAGGAAACCAAUGACAUUGUCGAUUUUUAAGUCACUGAUGCUUGCUUUCCAAAGGGUAUUCUCGUUAACAUUGGAAGAGGCCUUAAUGUUGAUGAACCUGAGUCUCUGCGCUGCUGGAUGGUUUCUGCUGAAAUGGCUAUGGUGAUGAAAGGAUUACUAAAUCUGGUGAAUACGGAAGGUGCUCAAGUUGUAGAAAAACAGUGCUGGCUUGUUCUGCAAGGCUGGUGAAUGGAGGACACAUCAGCAUAAAAGCUUUCUGGCCUCCCCUUUGUUAUCUCUGCAAGUGACAAACUUGUUGGAACUCCUCUACAAGUUUGGCCUUUUGUGCUCCUUGUGGCAAUGACCUUGCUCUUGUAAUGGUAAAACAAAUAAGAAAAGGAAAUGCAAAUAUGGGGAAUGACAAAUCCAGCUAAACCUCUCAAUCCAAGAGCCAUCUCCACUAUCCUGUUUUUCUUUCAUGGACCCCAGCAUAUUGUGUUGUAGGACUUUUCUUGGGUCGAAUUAUUGUGUUUUAGGAUAGCGCUUCUAUAAUGCAGGGCCUUGGAUAAAA